AACGCGAAGAACCUUACCCGGGCUUGAACUACAGGUGGUAAGUCCCUGGAAACAGGGGCUGACCCGCAAGGGAGCCUGCAGAGGUGCUGCAUGGUUGUCGUCAGCUCGUGUCGUGAGAUGUUGGGUUAAGUCCCGCAACGAGCGCAACCCCUAUUCGAUGUUGCCACUCCCGCAAGGGAAGCACUCUUCGAAAACUGCCUUCGAUAAGAAGGAGGAAGGUGGGGACGACGUCAAAUCCUCAUGGCCCUUAUGUCCGGGGCCACACACGUGUUACAAUGGCCGGUACAAUGGGAAGCAAUGCCGCAAGGUGGAGCCAAACCCACAAAGCCGGCCCCAGUUCAGAUUGUGGGCUGCAACUCGCCCACAUGAAGGCGGAAUCGCUAGUAAUCGCUGAUCAGCAGGCAGCGGUGAAUACGUUCCCGGGCCUUGUA
rnacentral:rRNA from 1 species